CGAAACGCGUCUACCACAGACAACUGUAGCCUACAGUCUCAUUGUGGUUAGUUAGUGUUAAAGAUUGUGUUAAAGAUUGAUUAAUGAAGCGAAGUUUUGUAUUUAUAGAAUUUAUAGUCUCUCCGUAAGAACCCCCUCCCCCCUUUUGUCUCCUGUCAGUGAGAUCAGCAUCUCAGAAAUACACACAAAAAUCGCUUGCUACUCACUUCAUCGUUCGUAAGUGGAACAAGAGCUGUGUCAACAAGAGAUGUCCAUUUCAUCAUCAAGUCUCCAGUGAAAUGAUUCAUCCAGUGCAGUUGGAUGUCACGUGAGUCUACAAAAAAGGCCCAUUCGGAGAUGAGAAGGUCAUCCUUUUACAGUGUUAAUAGAGAGGUUCUUCGUUCAGUGAUGAUUGACAGGUAAGUGAUCUUCUCAAGGUUCAACCCAUCAACUGAAUGACAGCUACUGAUCAAAAAUGAUAUGAAUGGAUGAAAAUGUCCAAAAGGAUGAAGACAGGAAGUGAUGCUGCAAACAAUCCUGCGCCAAUGAUGAACGGGAUGCCUGAAAUUAUAAAAAAGGAAAAAUCUUCAGUUUCAAAUCAUGUGAUAGAAAUGUAAUUUUUGUAUUUAUAUCAGUUUUAUACUCUGGAGUUUUUUGUAUCAUUUUCUAUAGGUAUUGAUUUAAUAUUUCUAAAAAUGUGAAGUGGUUCAACCAUGUUUUCCAUCAUAUUUAUCAAGAAGAUCUUUCCUAACAAUUUCCUGUUUUCAACACAAAAGUUUUCAUACAUUAAUAUUUGAAAACAAA